UACGAAGGUCCCAAGCGUUAUCCGGAUUUAUUGGGUUUAAAGGGUGCGUAGGCGGGUUAUUAAGUCAGUGGUGAAAGCCUUCAGCUCAACUGAAGAAUUGCCAUUGAUACUGAUGAUCUUGAGUAUGAUUGAGGUGGGCGGAAUGUGUCAUGUAGCGGUGAAAUUCGUAGAUAUUCGCAAGAACACCAGUGGCGAAGGCGGCUCACUGGCCCGGUACUGACGCUGAGGUGCGAAAGCGUGGGGAGCAAACAGG
rnacentral:rRNA from 1 species